rnacentral:lncRNA from 1 species
CCUCGUCUCAUAGAAUAUUGUGGAAAUAUCUUUGAUGAUGGGCCAAAAGGUGUCAGUGAUAGAGGACCAAGUAGAUGAAGCUACUGCAGAAUGUAAUUAGCCAAGACAACAACCCUUCCUUGCUACCACCAUCUCAUAGUGACCAACAGAACUCUUCCUACAUCUUCCGGGUGCUCUUUCCAUGCAGUAGAGAACUGUGGCAACAAUGUUCCAGGGAGGUUGGGCAGCCUGGAGGGGUGUAUGGGGGAACAGGCAGGGAAGCUGCAGUUAGUUGAUGUCAAUAGUCCUGACCAUCUUCCCGACCGAGAGGCUUCCUGGAGAGAGCGGAUUAAAAAGACAAAUGACUGAGCUCUUAAGAUUGAUGCACGUUUGAUGUUGGCCCCUUCUUCUCUACCUACAGUCGGAGGUAUUUUGGGUAUUUUUAACCCCAGAGGAAGUCUGGUGAAGUCUGUGGAAUCCUUCUCCAAAUAAUACAGUUUUAAAUGUACAGAAUAAAAUAUUGAAAGAAACCA